ACCGGGGUGGACGCACCUCUGGUGUACCAGUUGUGCCGCCAGGUGCACCGCUGGGUAGCCAAGUGCGGAAGGGAUAAGCGCUGAAAGCAUCUAAGCGCGAAGCCCCCCUCAAGAUGAGAUUUCCCACUCACAGGCUUGCCUGUGAGGUAAGACCCCUUGUAGAUGACAAGGUAGAUCGGUCCGAGGUGUAAGCGCAGCAAUGCGUUCAGCUGACGGAUCCGAAUCGGUCGAGGACUUCUCCUU
rnacentral:rRNA from 1 species